rfam:Oryza barthii chromosome 3, whole genome shotgun sequence.
AAUAAGUACAGUUUUACACUAUUCACAUUCAAUAUUUGACCGUUCGUUUUAUUUGAAAUUUUUUUAUGAUUAGUAUUUUUAUUGCUAUUAGAUGAUAAAAUAUAAAUAGUAUUUUAUAUGUGACUAAAUAUUUUCAAUUUUUUAACAAAUUUUUUAAAUAAGACGGACGGUCAAACGUUGGGCACGGAUAUCCACGGCUGCACUUAUU